GUAGGGAAUAUUGGGCAAUGGAUGCAAGUCUGACCCAGCCAUCCCGCGUGCCGGAAGAAGGCCCUCAGGGUUGUAAACGGCUUUUGACGGUGAAGAAUCGACAGGAUGCGUCCUGUUCUGACGGUAGCCGUUGAAUAAGCACCGGCUAACUCCGUGCCAGCAGCCGCGGUAAUACGGAGGGUGCGAGCGUUGUCCGGAUUUAUUGGGUUUAAAGGGUGCGUAGGCUGGAAGGUCAGUCAGCGGUGAAAAGCUGUCGCUUAACGAUAGUCUUGCCGCAGAUACUUCCUUUCUUGGAUGAGGAGGAGGCCACUGGAACGGAUGGUGUAGCGGUGAAAUGCAUAGAUAUCAUCCAGAACACCGAUUGCGAAGGCAGGUGGCUGUACCUUAAUCUACGCUGAUGCACGAAAGCAUGGGGAGCAAACAGGAUUAGAUACCCGAGUAGUCC
rnacentral:rRNA from 1 species